CGGGUUGUGUCGCCAGACGCAUUGCCCGGUAGCUAAGUUCGGCACAGAUAAGCGCUGAAAGCAUCUAAGCGCGAAGCUGGCCCCGAGAUGAGUCAUCCCUAGAGCUUCGAGCUCUCUAAAGGGUUGUUCUAGACUAGAACGUUGAUAGGCAGGGUGUGUAAGCGCUGUGAGGCGUUGAGCUAACCUGUACUAAUUGCCCGUGAGGCUUAACCAUACAACACCCAAG
rnacentral:rRNA from 3 species